rnacentral:rRNA from 1 species
AUUGAACGCUGGCGGCAGGCUUAACACAUACAAGUCGAGCGAGCGGCGGACGGGUGAGUAAUGUCUGGGAAACUGCCUGCUGGAGGGGGAUAACUACUGGAAACGGUAGCUAAUACCGCAUACCAUCAGAUGGGCCCAGAUGGGAUUAGCUAGUCGGUGGGGUAAUGGCUCACCUAGGCGACGAUCCCUAGCUGGUCUGAGAGGCUGACCAGCCACACUGGAACGGAGACACGUUCCAGAGUCCUACGGGAGUCAGCAGUGGGGAAGAGUGCACAAUGGGCUCAAGCCUGAUGCAGCAAUGCCGCGUGUGUGAAGAAGGCCUUCGGGUUGUAAAGCACUUUCAUCGAGGAGGCGUUACUCGCAGAAGAAGCACCGGCUAACUCCGUGCCAGCAGCCGCGGUAAUUC